AUUGAGUAAACAUGUGUUUUAGCCUAAACUUAAGUGAUUGGCACUAAAAUUGGCACAGGGCUUUAGGACCCUAUUGUGUCAAACAACUUUUAUCAUUCGGUGUAACCGCGUCCAAAUUUCUGGGUUUUCAAUUUGUAUUUGUAAAAUUGAUUCUCUAUGAACAUCCUCUGUCAAAACAAAUCAUGCUUUUUUCCUGUUCUGUUUCAGUUUAAUCGUCUUUUUAUUUGCAUAUCACUCUUUUGAAUAUCUUUCGGAACGGUCCCCAAUCGAAAAAAGGAAGCAUUCAGAUAUCUUUGUGCAAAACUAGACUCGCUUCGAAAUUUAGGAUAAAUCCAGCAAAAAACUUACCGUAACACGCAUCGCUGCAGUUAGGAAGAUAGAAAGAGCCGAAGCAGUAAGGAUAACACAUUGAAGCAAAAAUUUCUCGUCCAUCUUUUUCUACGAUGUAUCAAAAAAAAAAAGUUGUAAAGACGUUUGUAUUUUUUUACACAAAAAAAGGAUAAUGAUUAAAAAAUGAUAAAAAUGACGAUAUAUUUUGUUACUACCAGUAAUUUUGUAGUUACGAGUCGACAUGUGGAACCAACGCAAUAGUUACUAAAAAAAGCAGUUUGUUGAUUUUCGACUAGCGAAAUUUUUGAGUAAAAUUGUGUGGCGUAUGCGUGAGUAGAGAGCGAGAGCGAGAGAGAAAGUAUAAAAUGAUGGCUCAUGAAAACACACUCACACAUUUAAAUUGUUUUCAUCAGAAUGAAAAAAAUAAGAGCAUGCAAACAUACGAGAUGAGCAAUUAAUUAGUUUAUAAGCCACAGAACACAAUCGUUAUAGGAAACUGUUUAAGUUUUGAAAGAUUGUUAAUAAUUUCGGGUAUAACCAUUAUGUUUAGUACCUUAUAGGCUAUUUAGGUCACAGCAGGAUUUUGCCAUUGGCCAUGAGUCAUGAACAAAUUGCAAUCCAAGUCUUCCACAACGAGAGUCUCUUCCCCCUCGUUCAGAAGACUCCAAGUGCAAUUAUUUUGAGCUAAUUUGUGUGAUUGGAUCCUUUUCGAUUUGGACAAAAAAUGCCUGCGCUCCUUUUAGUGGUAAAAUGUGUCUUGAAAAUCGAAUUUUGAAAAUUUCCUUCUCGCUGGAAAUGGGUUAUGCUAAUGCAUAAGUGUUUGAAAUCCUGCUGCAUCUAAAUGAUAGUUGACAGAUAAAUUAAACAAAAAGUUACUUGACCUUAUGUUAUACUUCAUCAAAAAUCCUCAGUUAUCCGAUAGUAUGCAAAACAAAUCAACAUUACCGAAUCACUGUUGAGCACUGUUAAUAAUGAUCACUAGAGACUAAAAUAUCGUAAAAAAAUCACACAAUCGAAUUGUUAGUGUCUAUUAGUUUAGUUCACAAAAGCAUUGCAAGAAAAAUCGAAAAUUUGAAAAAUGAAAUGAAACUGUCUGGGAAAAACUUUCCCAGAAACUUCAUAAGUAAAAGCCGAACAAAGACAAAUUUAUCCGUCGACAUAUUACGUAAAACACCGAUCUAUUAGUUCGAUUUUUGCUACCAAAGAGAAAAGAACAUUGUAUACCAUGAGAAAUUAACAUUGUGUAAAACCUCCGCCCCUUUUUAGUAGACCAAUCUAAGCGAUUUAACAAUGAAAAAACAAAGUUUUCUACCAGUACGUUUAUCGGAGCUGGAUAGUGAAGCUGUUAAAUCGAGAGCAUGACAGCAUUCUUUUUCGUUCUAAAAAGUCAUUAUUCGACUCACAUCUAAUCUAUGAAAUAGCCAGUCAAUUUCUCAAUAUGCGCGCGCGAUCGGUUUUUUACGUUUCUGUUCUCUCGUAGCUAGAAGCUGUAUUAUCGAAAACGUUAACAAUCGCGUGGGUAAUCCACACAAAAAAACACACACACUUUCAAAUGAGCUCGAUAAACCAAAAGAUAAAAGAAAUGCGUAACCAUGCCGUCGAAAGCAACAGAAGGUUUAGGUGCAGAGAGAACUUAAGUCAACAUUUAGGAACAUUUUUGGAAGCCAAUAUUUAACAGAUGAGAAAUUUUUCUUCCGUUUAGCAGAAAUAGGAAGCUUACGAGCUAGGUCCAGGUAAACGUUUGUCCACAUUUUGCUACGCCAACUAUUGUAACCAAAUGGAACGAAUAGAGCUUUCCCACGAUAAUAGGAACAUGUCACACAAUGCCAUUCAUCAGCAGAUUGAAGACAAAAGUAAUUUAUCGACUUCUGCUUCAAGUAGGGUACUAUAGCCUUUUAGUUGAUAGGUCAUCAAACGUAUUUACAAAGCAUGUAGUUUCAAUCACGAACCAAUAAUCAUCUGGAAUUAGGGAGCUGGUUUCCAGAUCAGAUCAGCGUGAAAAACACCACAGAGAGUAGCAGCAAACGAUGGAUACCAAAAAUUCCAAAGCUUAGUUGUGAACAUUUCAGCCAAACAACAAUACCAGACAAACUUAGAAAACAGAAUGCAGCAAACCGUAUUUAACAAUAAUAGCUAAACCAUAGAAACUCGGAAGAAAUGUCAUAUUUUAAAACUAUAAUUUUGACCAAACGCAAACAAAACGAGCCCACUGUGUGACGGAAGACAUAUAGGUUUUAUCAUUGCUAGUAGAGAGCAAGACAAAAAAUCACUAACUAGUUUCCGGAAGGAACGCAUUUGAAAUUUUUUUUUGAGUGUGGCACCCAACUUUAUGAACUCUGAACGAGACAUGAGCUACACCUAGUGCGUAGCUUCGAAGCAGUGGACAAAAAAGUAGAUAAACUGUAAAAAGAAACACACAAAUGCGCACUGCCAUCUUUUAACGAUUUCCUUCUGAGGUAACUUAUCGCUUUUUAGUUCAACGAAGAAUUGGGGUAAAAUUGAUCUUAUUUCGUUUCAAUACUCCUUGGUUGGUUGGCUAACUGAUUGUAGGAAGUAUUAUUUUUUCGAUUAAGUUCAGUUGAUUCAAAUACUAGAUAAGAAAAAUACUAUUUUUGUAGACUCGGAGAUCAAAACUCUUUUGUAACAUUGCUUAGUAAUGAUCAAUUUUGAUAACAAAAAAGCAAAGAAAUUAGAAUAUGAAUAAGCGUUUUCAAUUCUUCUCUUUCUAGAAAAAAGGAAAAAAAUAUAUAACAAAAAACUAUUUUUUCAAAAGCGAAAAAUAACGGAACAAAACAAGCGAUAUUACCUAUUAAUUUACUAAUAAAGGAUAAAAGCAACAAUGAUCUACGAAUAAGCGAACGUUAAAGCUGUUAUGCGUAAAAGCAAAAGAAGCCGGAAAAUAACUAUUGGGAAAGAAUUCAAGAGCAGAGAAAGAAAAAUCGACAAUAUGUACAUAGAACCACAAGCAUAAAAGUAACUUAAAAUUAUUAUUUGAGCAGGUAGAAAAUGGAAAGUAUAUUAAUGUUAUCAAAGAAAAAUAUAAAAUCGCAAAAAAAAAAUGACAAAUUUAAAUUAAUUAUAAGAGAGAUACUAUCGAUAACUAAAACAUAAAAACGCGCGAAAUUUACUAGGAUUUUCUUGUAAAUAAUUAGAAAUAAACAAAAGGAAGUAUGGAAAAAGAACAUUUAAAAACUGCAGAAAAAUCAUAAUAUUAAAACAAAAUAGCAACUAGACACUAUAUUCAUUGAUAACAAAGGGCAAGACAAAAAAAAA